ACUGAUGAUUUUGGUCGCCAACGAGUGGCGGACGGGUGAGUAACACGUAGGUAACCUGCCCAGAAGCGGGGGACAACAUUUGGAAACAGAUGCUAAUACCGCAUAACAACGUUGUUCGCAUGAACAACGCUUAAAAGAUGGCUUCUCGCUAUCACUUCUGGAUGGACUGCGGUGCAUUAGCUUGUUGGUGGGGUAACGGCCUACCAAGGGCGAUGAUGCAUAGCCGAGUUGAGAGACUGAUCGGCCACAAUGGGACUGAGACACGGCCCAUACUCCUACGGGAGGCAGCAGUAGGGAAUCUUCCACAAUGGGCGCAAGCCUGAUGGAGCAACACCGCGUGAGUGAAGAAGGGUUUCGGCUCGUAAAGCUCUGUUGUUAAAGAAGAACACGUAUGAGAGUAACUGUUCAUACGUUGACGGUAUUUAACCAGAAAGUCACGGCUAACUACGUGCCAGCAGCCGCGGUAAUACGUAGGUGGCAAGCGUUAUCCGGAUUUAUUGGGCGUAAAGAGAGUGCAGGCGGUUUUCUAAGUCUGAUGUGAAAGCCUUCGGCUUAACCGGAGAAGUGCAUCGGAAACUGGAUAACUUGAGUGCAGAAGAGGGUAGUGGAACUCCAUGUGUAGCGGUGGAAUGCGUAGAUAUAUGGAAGAACACCAGUGGCGAAGGCGGCUACCUGGUCUGCAACUGACGCUGAGACUCGAAAGCAUGGGUAGCGAACAGGAUUAGAUACCCUGGUAGUCCAUGCCGUAAACGAUGAGUGCUAGGUGUUGGAGGGUUUCCGCCCUUCAGUGCCGGAGCUAACGCAUUAAGCACUCCGCCUGGGGAGUACGACCGCAAGGUUGAAACUCAAAGGAAUUGACGGGGGCCCGCACAAGCGGUGGAGCAUGUGGUUUAAUUCGAAGCUACGCGAAGAACCUUACCAGGUCUUGACAUCUUGCGCCAACCCUAGAGAUAGGGCGUUUCCUUCGGGAACGCAAUGACAGGUGGUGCAUGGUCGUCGUCAGCUCG
rnacentral:rRNA from 2 species